AAGUCGUAACAAGGUAACCGUAGGUGAACCUGCGGUUGGAUCAUUACCAAACCCAUGUUGUGUCAUGCUUGCAUGCGCAAUUCCCAACCCCAUGUGCAAUGUAUGCUGUUUUGGCGGGCAAGUGUCUGCGCCUUGGUGUGUAUAUGCCUUGCAGGGGGUUACCUCCUGACCGCCAAACUACCUUUACCACACACCAUUCAACCAUACAUCACACCUCGCGUGUGUAUUCAACUGAUGCGUGUUGGCCUUGUUUGUGGCUGUCACUGUUUCUUUGCCUGCUUCUGUCUGUCUCUGUCACUGUCUCUUUAUGAGCAGCAUCACCUGGCAGCAGCAGCAGCAAGAGCAACAUCAGCAACAAACGCCACUCAACACACCUCAGCAACAACAAAACAAAAAACAACUUUUGACAACGGAUCUCUUGGCUCUC
rnacentral:misc_RNA from 1 species